rnacentral:rRNA from 1 species
CGCACGAGAACAUCUCGGCUUUGCCGAGACAAGUACAGUGGCGGACGGGUGCGUAACGCGUAGAUAACCUGCCUUCAGGCGCGGGAUAACCUCGGGAAACCGUGGCUAAUACCGCACGACGUCUAGACCCCGCAUGGGGACUAGAUGAAAGCCUUCGGGUGCCUGAAGAUGGGUCUGCGUCGGAUUAGCUCGUUGGUGAGGUAACGGCUCACCAAGGUGACGAUCCGUAGCUGGUCUGAGAGGAUGAUCAGUCACACUGGGACUGAGACACGGCCCAGACUCCUACGGGAGGUAGCAGUGGGGAAUCUUGCACAAUGGGGGAAACCCUGAUGCAGCCAUGCCGCGUGGAGGAAGACACCCCUAUGGGGCGUAAACUCCUUUUCUGAGGGAAGAAACCCCUGUUUCUCAGGGUGUGACGGUACCUCAGGAAUAAGCACCGGCUAACUCCGUGCCAGCAGCCGCGGUAAUACGGAGGGUGCAAGCGUUGUCCGGAAUCACUGGGCGUAAAGGGUGCGCAGGUGGGGCAGCAAGUCGGAGGUGAAAGCCCAUGGCUUAACCAUGGAAGUGCCUUCGAAACUGUUGCUCUUGAGUCCCGGAGAGGCUGCCGGAAUUCGUGGUGUAGCGGUGAAAUGCGUAGAUAUCACGAGGAACACCAGAGGCGAAAGCGGGCAGCUGGACGGGUACUGACACU